rnacentral:rRNA from 1 species
UGAAUACGAGACGCUAAGGCGUCGAAGUAGUGUAUGUCAUACUUCCAAGAAAAGCUUGCACUGUCAUAGAUAAAAAACGCCUGUACCAUAACCGACACAGGUGGGUAGGUAGAGUAUACUAAGGGGCGCGAGAUAACUCUCUCUAAGGAACUCGGCAAAAUAACUCCGUAACUUCGGGAGAAGGAGUGCCUUAUUCUUAAGGUUGCAAUAACAAGAUCCAAGCAACUGUUUAUCAAAAACACAGGUCUCCGCUAAGUCGUAAGACGAUGUAUGGGGGCUGACGCCUGCCCAGUGCCAGAGGGUUAAAGAAGCUGGUUAGCAUUUGCGAAGCUAGUAACUGAAGCCCUGGUGAACGGCGGCCGUAACUAUAACGGUCCUAAGGUAGCGAAAUUCCUUGUCGGGUAAGUUCCGACCCGCACGAAAGGCGUAAUGAUUUGGAUACUGUCUCGGAGAGGGGCUCGGUGAAAUAGACUUGUCUGUGAAGAUGCGGACUACCUGCACCAGGACAGAAAGACCCUAUGAAGCUUUACUGUAACUUGAAAUUGAAAUUGGACUUUAUUCGCGCAGUAUAGGUGGGAGGCGUUGAUUAUAAUCUUGCGGGAUUAUUGGAGCCAUUAGUGAGAUACCACUCUUGUAAUGUUAGAUUUCUAACUUUGAAUCAUUAUCUGGUCAAAGAACAGUUUCAGGCGGGCAGUUUGACUGGGGCGGUCGCCUCCUAAACGGUAACGGAGGCGUACAAAGGUUUCCUCUGAACGGUUAGAAAUCGUAUCUAGAGUGUAAAGGCAUAAGGAAGCUUGACUGUGAGACCUACAAGUCGAGCAGGGACGAAAGUCGGUCUUAGUGAUCUGACGGUACUGAGUGGAAAGGCCGUCACUCAACGGAUAAAAGUUACUCUAGGAUAACAGGCUGAUCUCCCCCAAGAGUUCACAUCGACGGGGAGGUUUGGCACCUCGAUGUCGGCUCAUCGCAUCCUGGGGCGGUAGUACGUCCCAAGGGUUGGGCUGUUCGCCCAUGAAAGCGGUACGCGAGCUGGGUUCAGAACGUCGUGAGACAGUUCGGUCCAUAUCCGGUGUAGGCGUUAGAAUAUUGAGAGGAGCCUUCUUUAGUACGAGAGGACCGAGAAGGACAUACCUCUGGUGUACCAGUUAUCGUGCCAACGGUAAACGCUGGGUAGCUAUGUAUGGAGUGGAUAACCGCUGAAAGCAUCUAAGUGGGAAGCCCACCUCAAGAUAAGUAUUCUCA